CUCACGCUGCUGACAGGCUGGUGGAGGGAGGCGCUUGGGUACCGUUGCUAGGCAACUGCCUCAGGCCUGUGGUCCUCUCAGCACUGGAGCCUUCCUCUUGGGCUCUUCCGUUCUUCCCUAACAAUGGCUGAGGACACCAGCACUUCCUCCCUUCUAGCUUGCUCCCUCUGAGUCACUGCCAUUCCCAGUCACAUGGUGUAAGCAGCUUGGCUUUGCCCCAUGACCCCGGUGGGGGCAGAUAAGGAGACUCCCGUCAUGCUUGAGUCCAGCCUCACUCUCUGGAAAAGUCUGGCCUCCUGCGGCAGCCAAGCAUGGCAGGCCUCUGCCAACAGAGGUUAAGCCAAGCAUCCUCAGACCAUGUCCCAGCUCCAGUUCAGUCUGACCUGCAUGCAGAGAUUAGCAGCCAGCUAGUGGAGUGAAAAGGGAUCUCCUCAACUUGCUUCCCUUUUGCCUUCCUCAAAGAAGAACUAAGAAGAGGAGGCCAGGAAACAGCUCCUACCUUAAGUGCAUCUGAUGACAAAUGACUCAAAUACCACUUUGCAGAGGGUCUCACACUCACAGCAGAAAGCAAGGAAGAAGGGAAGGGAAAAAUAACACUGGAGUAAGUGCUGUUGGAGAACCUUGUUCACAAGUUUCAAGAAGCCUGUCAGGCCCUGGAAUUAACCUGUUCCCAAAAGAGAUUGGUUGAACUAUGUCCCCAGAUAAACCCUCAGAUUCCCGAAUCUCCAUAUAUCACAUCCUCAACUGGUAGUGGUGUUUGAUCGUCUUCUCCAGAUAUACAGAAGAAUCACAGGAGAUCUGGCAAGAAGCUGCAACAUUUCCUACUAUGUCUGGUUUUCUUCUUGGUGUUGAUGAUGAGGCU
rnacentral:lncRNA from 1 species